CAGUCUGUUUCCACAGUGCUGGGAAAUUCUAAAAUUGCUUCUUGAGCUUAAUGAUAUUUUUUUCCUGGAAAUCCCCCAGAUGACAGUACAUCAGCAAAAGAAUAUUGACAUGGUCUGGGUACCCCCAGAUGUGCUGUGACAGGAGGCUGCACUGUUAAUCAUACUGUCACAGCCCAGUUCUGCAAAGCAAUAAACCAGUCUGGACUAAGUUACUGAAGGUCUUUGAAGUACUGGAAGACCCAUAAAUAAGCUUUUCAGGAGGGCACAGCACACCCAAAUCAUCUCAUCGCUUCAUCUGGAAUCAAUCACAGUAGGUCCACUGAUGUCAAGAAAACUAUGCUCAUUUGCAUCAGCACGUGACCUGUGGCUCCAGUGAUAUUUUCCCUGGGACAAGGAUAAUUUCCAUCAUUUGAAUGCUUCUUUCUAUAUCUUCUGAAGACUAUGUAUGCAGAGGUGAAGGGUGGAUCUUCAGGAGACGUGACAAGUGUUGAGAGCAGCUCCUGCCUGCUCCCAUUGGCAGCUGAGGGAGAGGCAGUGUUAGCACAUGGACUUACAGAGCAGCAGUGAGGAUUUGUGGUGACUAAUUAUUUGAAUAUGAAUCAACAAUGCAACACUGUGGCAAAACAAGGCAAAUGCUCAGCACUGAGUCACAUUAAUAAGAAUGUCACGCAUAAAAGAAAUGAGGAAAAAGCUGCUUUUUAGAAAAUAUCCACUCGAAGCUACUGGAACAAACAAUGAGAAGGACAACACAGCUGUAUAAGACUGG